rnacentral:rRNA from 1 species
AGAGUUUGAUCCUGGCUCAGGGUUAACGCUGGCGGUGCGCAUAACACAUGCAAGUCGAGCGAGGGCUUAUUUCUCGCAAGAGAGAUGAGUUCCUAGCGGCGAACGGGUGAGUAACACGUGGGCAACCUUUCCUAUCGCGGGGGAUAACACCGGGAAACCGAUGCUAAUACCGCAUGUCGUCACUGAUCGCAUGGUUGGUGAAGAAAGCAGCAAUGCACGAUGGGGUGGGCCCGCGGCCUAUCAGCUAGUCGGUGGGGUAACGGCCUACCGAGGCGAUGACGGGUAGCUGGUCUGAGAGGACGGCCAGCCACACGGGGACUGAGACACGGCCCCGACUCCUACGGGAGGCAGCAGUGAGGAAUCUUCCGCAAUGGGCGAAAGCCUGACGGAGCGACACCGCGUGUGGGAUGAAGUCUUUCGGGAUGUAAACCACUGUCGGAGGGGAAGACAAAAAAGACGGUACCCUCCAAGAAAGCCCCGGCUAACUACGUGCCAGCAGCCGCGGUAAUACGUAGGGGGCAAGCGUUAUCCAGAUUUACUGGGCGUAAAGCGCGUGUAGGCGGCUGGUUAGGCGUGAUGUGAAAUCUUCCGGCUCAACCGGAAAACUGCAUUGCGAACCGGCCUGGCUAGAGUGCAGGAGAGGGAAGCGGAAUUCCAGGUGUAGCGGUGAAAUGCGUAGAUAUCUGGAGGAACACCAGUGGCGAAGGCGGCUUCCUGGCCUGCAACUGACGCUGAGACGCGAAAGCGUGGGGAGCGAACCGGAUUAGAUACCCGGGUAGUCCACGCCCUAAACGUUGUGAACUAGGUGUUGGUCGGAUUGACCCGAUCAGUGCCGCAGCUAACGCAUUAAGUUCACCGCCUGGGGACUACGGCCGCAAGGUUAAAACUCAAAGGAAUAGGCGGGGGCCCGCACAAGCAGCGGAGCGUGUGGUUUAAUUCGAGGCAACGCGAAGAACCUUACCUGGGUUUGACAUGCACAGGAAACUUUGGUGAAAGCCAGAGCCUCCCGCAAGGGACUUGUGCACAGGUGGUGCAUGGCUGUCGUCAGCUCGU